rnacentral:rRNA from 1 species
CUUCCGCCGGCGACCGGCGCACGGGUGAGUAACACGUAUGCAACCUGCCCCUGUCAGGGGGACAACCCGCCGAAAGGCAGGCUAAACCCGCGUACAUGCCACCGGGGCAUCCCGGAGGCAGGAAAGGCUUCGGCCGGACAGGGAUGGGCAUGCGGCGCAUUAGGCAGUAGGCGGGGUAACGGCCCACCUAACCGACGAUGCGUAGGGGUUCUGAGAGGAAGGUCCCCCACACUGGUACUGAGACACGGACCAGACUCCUACGGAAGGCAGCAG